AACAGACAUUAAAUUUCUCAUAUCACGAAAGUUCGAGGUCACAAUUGUGCCCCUGAACCGUUGAGAAUGAACGAAAUAUCAUCGAUUUAGAGGGUUAAAUAUAGCAGCCUUGUGAGUGCCCGAUCUCCAACAAGCAGGAAUCAGCGGUCUUCACGUUAGGUACCAGGUUCUCUCGGUUCUCCCGCCAAGUUUGGCAGUUCGUUGGAACUUGCAUCGAACUCGAGCUCUGUUUUAGCGGGCCAAAAUCCACUCUACCUUCGCUUCGCCACCGUGCACGGUUUCAAGGCAAAGGUUUCCGUUACCCAGAAGCUGAAGAUAGCAAUUACAGGCAACAACAACAACAGGUUAAGUUGCCCUCUGAUGUGAAUGCUAGUAAGCUAAAAUGUAAUGUGCCAUCUUCAGCAGAGAAAUUUCUCUUAUGCUAAUGUAAGUAUUCUGAAGUUACUCAAGUAUCUACAGUUGUACCUACAUGCAAGUUACAAUAUGCUGUUAUACACAACUGUACCUGGACACUGCACCCACUGGUACUGAUAGUAAGUUAAAUGUUGUGGAAUUUCCUUUCACA